rnacentral:rRNA from 1 species
UAAUCGGCUAGACUUUAUAAAUUUGUACUCAAAUUGAUGUUAAACCUAGAUAGUUUUUGAUUACUUUUAACUUUAGGGUAAAAUUAGAAGUUGUUUGUAUUUGUGUCUUGUGUUUUUAGAUUUGUUGAACGACCCAGAUUAGUACCUGGUUAGACAAAAGUUAAAAGAGCAGGAGUAAAGUUAUAUUUAAACUGUAAGAAUAUUGGCAGGUCUUUAAAUUAUCUUUGGAGGCUGAGUAGUAAUUGAGAGCCCUCAUUAUCAGCCUGUGUUGUAGGCUCAUGUAUGAUCGUUUAUUUUAUCCUUAAGGGUUGUAAUGUUAGUUUGGUUGCUGUAAAAAUAGAUAUAUACUUGGUUGAUGCACAGGAUUUAAUUUGGCCUACAAUAGUUUAUGGUGUGUGGAUUUUAAUCGUAGUGGUUAUUUGAAAUUGUAAAAGACAGUAAAUUUCUUUUUAUGGGAAAUUGAAGUUUAUUUAAAGACGGUACAAAUCAUCCGUCAAU